rnacentral:misc_RNA from 1 species
AGCUGAAGGAUAACGUGUGGUUAAAAGCGCAUUUGAUUUUAUUUUAUUUUAUUGGAUGUUCACAGUAUCAAUAACAAUUUUUAUUCUGGAUAAGCUUAAAAUUUGCUUUCUUGUUCUGUUUAAAAAUCAAAUCUUUCUCAGUUGGGUGUUGUUAAUCUGUGAAAUAGAAGCUCUAUCUUUGUUUUUGUACUUUUUUUUGUUGAAGAUUUGGGGUUUUUGGGAUUUGGGA